rnacentral:rRNA from 1 species
AUUGAACGCUGGCGGCAUGCUUUACACAUGCAAGUCGAACGGUAACAGGGUGCUUGCACCGCUGACGAGUGGCGAACGGGUGAGUAAUGCGUCGGAACGUGCCGAGUAGUGGGGGAUAACGCAUCGAAAGGUGUGCUAAUACCGCAUACGUACUGAGGUAGAAAGUGGGGGACCUUCGGGCCUCACGCUAUUCGAGCGGCCGACGUCUGAUUAGCUAGUUGGUGAGGUAAAGGCUCACCAAGGCGACGAUCAGUAGCGGGUCUGAGAGGAUGAUCCGCCACACUGGGACUGGGGAACGGCCCAGACUCCUACGGGAGGCAGCAGUGGGGAAUUUUGGACAAUGGGCGCAAGCCUGAUCCAGCCAUGCCGCGUGUCUGAAGAAGGCCUUCGGGUUGUAAAGGACUUUUGUCCGGGAGCAAAUGCCUGGUGUUAAUAGCACUGGGAGCUGAGAGUACCGGAAGAAUAAGCACCGGCUAACUACGUGCCAGCCGCCGCAGUAAAAC